rnacentral:rRNA from 1 species
UUUUUACGUACCCUGGCGGCACGCCUAACACAUGCAAGUCGAACGCAGUAGCAAUACUGAGUGGCAAACGGGUGAGUAUAAUGUGGGAAUCUGCCUUUUGGUUUGGAAUAACACGGGGAAACUUGUGCUAAUACCGAAUAAGCCUUUACAGGGAAAGUUUUAAUGCCAAAAGAUGAGCCCGCACUUGAUUAGCUAGUUGGUAAGGUAAAAGCUUACCAAGGCAAUGAUCAAUAGCUGUUCUUAGAGGAAGACCAGCCACAUUGGGACUGAGACACGGCCCAGACUCCUACGGGAGGCAGCAGUGGGGAAUCUUGCACAAUGGGGGAAACCCUGAUGCAGCGAUGCCGCGUGAGUGAAGAAGGCCUUUGGGUUGUAAAACUCUUUCGUCGGGGAAGAAAAUGACUGUACCCGAAUAAGAAGGUCCGGCUAACUUCGUGCCAGCAGCCGCGGUAAUACGAAGGGACCUAGCGUAGUUCGGAAUUACUGGGCUUAAAGAGCUCGUAGGUGGUUAAAAAAGUUGAUGGUGAAAUCCCAAGGCUCAACCUUGGAACUGCCAUCAAAACUUUUUAGCUAGAGUGUGAUAGAGGUAAGUGGAAUUUCUAGUGUAGAGGUGAAAUUCGUAGAUAUUAGAAAGAACACCAAAUGCGAAGGCCACUUACUGGGUCACUACUGACACUGAGGAGCCGAAGCAUGGGUAGCCGAAAGGAAUAGAUACCCUCCU